GGAGCAUGUGGUUUAAUUCGAUGCAACGCGAAGAACCUUACCUACUCUUGACAUCCAGAGAAUUCGCUAGAGAUAGCUUAGUGCCUUCGGGAACUCUGAGACAGGUGCUGCAUGGCUGUCGUCAGCUCGUGUUGUGAAAUGUUGGGUUAAGUCCCGCAACGAGCGCAACCCUUAUCCUUGUUUGCCAGCACGUAAUGGUGGGAACUCCAGGGAGACUGCCGGUGAUAAACCGGAGGAAGGUGGGGACGACGUCAAGUCAUCAUGGCCCUUACGAGUAGGGCUACACACGUGCUACAAUGGCGUAUACAGAGGGCUGCAAACUAGCGAUAGUAAGCGAAUCCCACAAAGUACGUCGUAGUCCGGAUUGGAGUCUGCAACUCGACUCCANGAAGUNGGAAUCC
rnacentral:rRNA from 1 species